GGAUGUGACUCAAGUGGUAGCGUGCUUGCCUAGCAUGCGAGAGGCACUGGGUUUGAUCCUCAGCACCA
rnacentral:tRNA from 1 species